AAGGGCACCACAAGAACGCGUGGAGCAUGUGGCUUAAUUUGACUCAACGCGGGAAAUCUUACCGGGUCCGGACACACUGAGGAUUGACAGGUGUUUCGUUUUGAUAUAGCAUUCAUAUCAAUGCUUAUUAAAAAUUUAUUUUUUUUUUAAGUAAUACAUGUGCUAUUAUACAAAACAAUUUCAAAUAUGCUAGUCCUUUCAUGAUUGUGUGAUAGGUGGUGCAUGGCCGUUCUUAGUUCGNGGAGUGAUCUGUCUGCUUAAUUGCGUUUCACUUAUGGCCACAAGUGUUUUAUAUUAAUACUGUGACCUCAUCUGUUUUUUUACAAAACGGUGAUUGCGUCCGGUAUGAUAUGCACUGUGAAGCCUCGAAGGCAACGAACGUGACCGCAGCCUCUUGUUGCCUCCCUUGNGCAAACUGCNUUGUGUUUCUGCAUAUUAUAUUUUUUAUAUACUAUGUGUUACGCUUUCAGUUUUUUGCCGCAGUUUUUUCAUUUGUAUGUAUUAUCGUUACUUCUUUGAUGAAAACAUUGCACUUGUGUAUGUGAGUCAUUAUUGUAUAUGGNUGCAUCAAUGNAGCUAUAUAUGUUUUGGUUUUGCUACAUAAGCUGUAUUUGUAUUGUCAUUAGGAAUAAUUUGUAUGUGCAUGCAUGGAAUUAACCUGCAGUGGAGGGAAACUAGAGGGACCGCUGACUCUUCAUCUAACCAGAGGAAGGUUGCGGCAAUAACAGGUCUGUGAUGCCCUUAGAUGUUCCGGGCUGCACACGUGCUACAAUGAUUAUUGCAGUGAGCAUCUUACCCCAGUUCGUGGGCACAGCUUAUAUUGUUACACUGGUAUUCCAAAGGGUGUAUACAUUAGUGUAUGUGUAUGUUUUGGUUGUUUCUUUAUUGAAGCUUCCAAUAUUUAUAUAUAUAUAUUAUGUUGUCUACCUGUCAGUGUUAGCGGGCUGAUGCAUUUUACGACCAGGCUACUUCGAAAGUAAGUAGCUAAUCAAUUCGAAGUAAUGAUUUCCUUUGCAUGUUUUAUAUAUGUCCUGUAUCUUAUGGGUGUUUUCUCUUUUUAGCGAUUACAUACUGUAUUAUAUGGUGGCAUGUGCUCCAUUAAUUCGUGGUGGGGACAGACCAUUGUUAAUUGUUGGUCUCGGUCUCAACUAGGAAUGCCUUGUACGGGUCUUUGGUUCAACAGACCACCCGGAAUAUGUCCCUGCCCUUUGUACACACCGCCCGUCGCUCUUACCGAUGGACUUCUCUGUGAGUUUGAGGGACUGGAAACUCCUUUCUAUGGAAACUUAAACGAACAGCGUGGUCUAAAGGAAAGAGAAGUCGAACAAGGCA
rnacentral:rRNA from 1 species